rnacentral:rRNA from 1 species
GACGAACGCUGGCGGCGUGCUUAACACAUGCAAGUCGAACGGAAAGGCCCUGCUUUUGUGGGGUGCUCGAGUGGCGAACGGGUGAGUAACACGUGAGUAACCUGCCCUUGACUUUGGGAUAACUUCAGGAAACUGGGGCUAAUACCGGAUAGGAGCUCCUGCUGCAUGGUGGGGGUUGGAAAGUUUCGGCGGUUGGGGAUGGACUCGCGGCUUAUCAGCUUGUUGGUGGGGUAGUGGCUUACCAAGGCUUUGACGGGUCGCCGGCCUGAGAGGGUGACCGGGCACAAUGGGACUGAGAUACGGCGCAGACUCCAACGGGAGGCAGCAGUGGGGAAUAUUGCACAAUGGGCGGAAGCCUGAUGCGGAAACGCCGCGUGCGGGAUGACGGCCUUCGGGUUGUAAACCGCUUUCGCCUGUGACGAAGCGUGAGUGACGGUAAUGAGUAAAGAAGCACCGGCUAACUACGUG